GGCUGAGCUCCUCUGUGUUUAACUGCUGCCUUCUGCUCACUUGUGAAACUGUAAAAAGGGCAGGACUGAAUCUGUGAAGCAUUUUGUGAAGCAUUGAAUGAGCAUGGAGGGAAUGUCUGAGAGUCCCUGACAAGCCUCAGCCAUGAAAGUCAGGAAAAGUGUACAGCAAGCGAGAAACUUCGGAUGAAAGACAGCUGCUUCCAAGCGCACCAUGGGAAAUGAAAACCCAGAGAACUCCCUAGCCUGAGGAAAGCUGGAGAGGUUCUCAAAUGCCUGAUCACAGUUAUUACUGAGCUGAGAUUCUUUGGAUCAUCUCAAACCACUCAGGAGCACUUGGCUGUCCUGUUGGCAUGACUGCAAACCUGCUACAUAUUCCAGAGAGGUUCAUCUUAGUGCCGCCGUGGAGUCCCCAUCAAUCCUCUGAGGCUUAAACAGCACUAGUAAAAUGAGGUAAUUAGCUAUAAAUUAUCUGAGCCUCAAGACAGAGCAAUCUCCAUUGUGACAGUUCCCUGCUAAAUGCAAGGAUCUCCCAAAGAGGUCUCAUGGUGGACAUUUUAGUGGACACAAGACAAGGACUUUGAGGAGCUCCGUUCUACAGACAGGGCUGCAACCAACUUGUCAAAUGAUUUUCAGCAGGUCUCCUCUUCACCCAUUUUGCCUAUAAAACGGGAGAGCUCCGAAAUCCCUGGGUGAACAAGAUGAGGAACCAGGAAUUCAUUCUUCAGGUCUAAGCAUUAGUAACAACAGCAGUCAUCCUCUUUACAGAUGUCCCUGCCCAUUCUGUCACAAUCCAGUAUGUAGAAGAAAAGAAAUUUGCUUAGACAUGGACUUUUUUAUGGGACAUGAAAUAGGCAUGAAGUUCUUGGCAUGAGAAAAGUUCACUCCGAGCAACAGCUCCUAAGAAAACCAAGACAGUGUGAAACAAAGUUGAAAUGGAAAUCCCCACUGUAAAUUCAGCUCUUGGUACCUGUCAAAGAUAUGACAAAACCUCUGCCCAUGGCGAAUGGCUGUCCUUGUGAAAAAGUAAAAAUCUCUGGAGCUUCCAAGGUGGAAAUUCAUGCAGAGAUUCCAUUUCAGUGAUCAAACUCUUCCACCGGAGCUCUGAAUGAAUUUCCACUAACCUCCUUUCAUCCAACUCCAUCUCCAGCAGGAUUUCCUUCAACUAUAAAAACACACACAUUGCAAUUAACCAGCCUGCACAGACUCCCCACUUCAUUUACGUGUGCUGGACAUGGCUUCUGCUGUGAGCAGCCCAUCCAAAGAGUACUCUUUGAACUAUUCUACAGUUCCUCACAUUGCAUAUUGCAUUGUCCAAUUUCAUCACUCCUGGCAAGGCAGAGUGCUCCUGCAGCUCGUUACAGGAGUAGCAGACGAUAUGAUGAAGCACUUUGUGCAGCUGGGUAUCUCAGAUGGACACAUGAGCUUGCCUACCACUAACUAUAGGACUUGCCUAGUCACCACACAGACCUUCCUUGACCAGUUGUGCUUACAUGACCUUACAGGAAGCCCUCUCUAAUCUGCCCCCGGAGGGGCAGAAAUCAGGGAGGAUGGUUUUAAAAAUAAAUAAAUAAAACAAAAUUGGGGGGAAAUAAAAUACCUAAAAUUAAAGAUUUAAAGCAA